rnacentral:rRNA from 1 species
AGCAGCCGCGGUAAUUCUAGCUCCAAUAGCGUAUAUUAAAGUUGUUGCAGUUAAAAAGCUCGUAGUUGAAUUUCAGGCCUGGCUGGACGGUCCGCCCUUCGGGUGAGUACUGUCUGUGGUCGGGUCCUACCUUCUGGCGAAGCGUCAUGGCCUUAACCGGCCGUGGCGGGGAACCAGGACUUUUACUGUGAAAAAAUUAGAGUGUUCAAAGCAGGCAAUCGCUUGGAUACAUUAGCAUGGAAUAAUGGAAUAGGACAAUGGUUCUAUUUGUUGGUUUCUAGGACCGUUGUAAUGAUUAAUAGGGAUAGUUGGGGGCAUUAGUAUUCAAUUGUCAGAGGUGAAAUUCUUGGAUUUAUUGAAGACUAACUACUGCGAAAGCAUUUGCCAAGGAUGUUUUCAUUAAUCAAGAACGAAAGUUAGGGGAUCGAAGACGAUCAGAUACCGUCGUAGUCUUAACCAUAAACUAUGCCGACUAGGGAUCGGAUGAUGUUAAUUUUAUAAUGACUC